CAGUUUUACACAUCGUAAUAUUUUUGUAUUUCAAAAAAAAAAAAUUUAAUGUGUGAAAUUGGUAG